UGUCAUAUCUAAUAUCAACAUUUCACUUGACAUGGCAACACAAAAGGUUAAAGUCACCUUGAAUUAGUGAUGGAUAACCUCAACUCAGCUCCUCUUCUCGUUUGACAGAAAACAUUCCUCGCAACCUAUCGUGUGGAGAAAUCUUGAUUGAAAUGAUUCUCAACGACAUUACGCCAUACCUUCUUUCAUUCUCAUUGUUGUCAGAUUGAGUCAGUCCUUACCUCGUGAUGACUGGGUAGAGCUGUAAUGAUGACGAAAGGGAGAGUGAAUAGGUAGAACGCUACGCAGGACAUGAGCGCCACUUUUACUAACUAGGGUUUUAGGUUGAUCCUCCACUUCAAAGCAACAAGCAAGUUCAGAGUUUAACUGAAUUGAAUGUGCCACUGCCAGCACUUCCGACGCACCGACAGCUUCCUGUACUCUUUAAAUGAUAACACUUCACCAUUUUCCUGAUUUAUUGUGUGAUAACAGUUUUAACCAUUAUAUAAAACGGUCUAAAACACUGCAAAAUAACUAUGCGUUUAUGGGCAUUUUUAUAACAAGACACUAACAGUUUGAACAAUGAAUUUAUUAAUAUUUAUGUUCUAGAUCAGGUUGUUGCACA